CAGAGCUCGGCUAGCCUUAGAAGGGAGCUCAGGCGGGCUCCCGAAAGGAGAGGCCGGAGCGGUCCUCGUGGGAACGCGGCAGGGAAGCGGGGUGCAAAACAGUGGUGGGCUGCUCCUGGUUCUGUCCGGUUCUUGCGAACCAGUAGUAAAAGCAGCAGGAGGCUCUACCCACCUGCCCGGACGUCAUAAUGGACAAUCUGCGCUCCCGUUGUGAACCGGUAGUAAAGAUUGAUGCUUGGAUCUGUCAAAUCUGACGGAAGACUUUUCCCCAGGCUACAGAACCUUUGAAUAAUGGCAGAUCUGCAAAGCCAACCUUCUCUUCUGCACAAUGUUUCACAGAGGCUGGGAGUCAAGAAGACAGAGAUGAGCAUAAUUACAUUGAAGAUACAACUAUUUGGCCCAUGAAAAUUGUGAAAAGGUCCCCUCUUCGCUCUCCAGGGCAGAGGCAUUUCAGGCAGUCGCUGUCACUCUCUGCGUGGGCAAAGCGUGGCAAUGGCUAACAGAUGAAUAAGAAAAGGGGCAGAAAGAACACAAGGCGACUGGCAGCUAUUCAACUCCAAUCUCGCUACUGAUGCCCCCCUUCCCCCCCCAAUAUUUCUGAAGUCCUUGGAAACAAAAUCCAUGAUUUCAACAGGGAAGUAAAUUCCAGGGCCUCAAGCAAACGGACAGACUGGCUUCAGGGGGCUUUGGGAUGAAGUUUUUGAAAUGAACAGCUCAGGUUUUUGAUAUGUGAAAGAGCUGCCAAAGAGCUUUCUGAUAAGGCCUGGGGAAUGUGGAGUUGUGGAAGACUCACCUAUCAUUCGAUUGGCACACAUUUUCAUCAGGCUUAAAGCCAAGGAAUCAAAGAAGCUCUUUUAUUCAGAUCAACAUUGUCUACUAUGAUUGAAACUGCAGCCUAAUUCCAGGGAAAUUCACUGGGACUUCCAUCAUGGAAAGCAUCUGUCCUUACUAGAAUAUUUAUUUAUUUUUAUGACAUAUAUUUUUCCUUUUUGUCCAUAGGCACUGAACAGUUUUCCUAACACAAUGCUCAAUUCUUAGAUUCCUGGCCAUUGUGAUCAGGAUUCUAAGUGUUUACGGUAAUUAUGCAAAAGUUAGACAACACUCACAUCUAAAGAAUUGUUCAAAAUUCUUAUCACAAUUCAGGGCUAUCAAUUCCGGGAAAGGUUUUUUUAUCAUCAUCUGCCCUAAUUCAUUCACAACAUUUUACACCUGACCAAGACCACCAUGACACAUACCAUAUUAUAUAACUAUUCUAUUUCCCCCAAAAAAUAAUCUAUAUUUUUUCUUACUAGAGGAUAUCAGUGAGGAAAGAAAUUCUUUUCUGAUUCUCUCCCUCUUUUUCUCUCCCUCUCUCUCCGCCUCUUCUAUUUUUCCCCAAAAAUAAUCUAUAUUUUUGCUUACUAACUAAAGGAUAUCAGUGAAGAAAGAAGGGUUGUCCUUGGAGCAAUUUCAGCAGAAAACAUUCUAAUGUUUGCUUGAAGGAAAAAUAAUUUGAAAAUAUAACAUGCUAUUUAAAUGUGCCUUUAUGGUUUGUGAAAAGGGACAGUUGUUAUUAUCUUAGCUACUAUUAUGAAAAGAUUGAAAUACGUAUGCACACAUCCACACCCACACCCACACACCACACAGAGGAUCUUAUUUAUAAGUUGUUCUUCAGAAAAGAAAAAACAAUUCUCUCAGAAGUUAAGACAGACAUUCAAUUCUUUGUUCGCACUGAUGCUACGGGUUUUCUCUAGCUUCCACAAAAGGAUUAUCAAACUUGAUAAACCAAUUUUGAGUACUUUUUGGCAUGAGUGUAAAUUUCUCUCAUAAUGAGAGACUUUUUUUUUUUUUUGCUGUUAAUGAUUGAAUGCUAUGUUCCAAUUCCUCAGUCGGUACAGAUGCUGAACCCCAAGCAUCUCACUGCUGAGGGAUUUGGUCUCACUUCAUCUGUGAUUAUGACAUUAUUUUACUCAUGUGCUGGGACUCAACUUAUUGUCAGGAACAGGCAAUUAUGGAAGCAACAAACCGGUUGAAUGUGGCAUCACUAUCUAGCAAUCUGGGAUCUGUUUCUCCCAAAGACCUUUAGAUUAAAUCAAAGUCAGCAUGCCUAGUAAUGAUGAUUAAUGGGGAAAAAUAUAAUUGCACCCUUUAUAUUGUGAAGAUAGUAGAGGCUGCAAUGAUCUUUUGUAUGAAAGAAGAUGACAAAUAGCAAAUACGCUUCAAAGCUCAAGCAUGUAAUCUACAAUCUACUAUUUGGAAAAAAAAUGCUUAGCUUGCAUUUAAGGUGACAUAAAUCUUUACUAUUUAGAUUUUAAUCUACAACACGGCAUAUUCAUUUUAAUUUAUUCUCACUUUUACCGAUAGAGUGGAUUUACUGAUCAGGAACACUUGUCAAUACAGGUAGUUCUUGAAUUACAAAAGUUCAUUUAGUGACCAUUCAAAAUUACAAUGACACUGAAAAAAGUGACUUAUGAUUAUUUUUCACACUUACAACUGUUGCAACCUCCCCAUGGUCAGAUGAUCAAAAUUUGGACUUUUGGCAACUGGUUCAUAUUUACAACAUCAUGUGAUCCCCUUUUGUGACCUUCUGACAAGCAGAGUCAAUAGGAAAGCCAGAUUCACUUAACAACCAUGUUACUCACUUAACAACUGCAAUGAUUCACUUAACAACUGUGGCAAGAAAGGUCAUAAAAGGGGUCAAAACUCACUUAACAAAUGUUUCACUUAGCAACAUAAAUUAUGGGCUCAAUUGUCGAAAAUCGAGGACUACCUGUACUUCAGUGUUGUUUUGUUAGACCAGUUAGAGGACUAUAGGAAUAAAUAGGAGUAUUAAUUAUUUAUUUUGAGGCAUUUCUAUUCUGCUUUCCUAAAUCAUAAAGCAUAAUUAUAACUUGUCUUCCAUGACAAAAUCAAAGGAAAUAAGAAAAUAUUAUCAACUGUACAGUAUAUAUUAUUAAUUGUCUACUGUUCACGAUUAUUACUGUUCAUAAAAUAUUAAUUUUAUUUCUAAAACAUGGUAAUGUACCUAAAUUGAUUUUCAAAAAUGUGGAAGUGGAACCAAAUAUCCCAUGUAACUGGUAUGUAGAAAGAUGUAAAUACGAAUCCCAUCCAAAAUCUCAAUUUUUACAUGGUCACAAUAACUAUUACUAUUUGAGUAAUCAUCUCCAAGGUAAUUCAAGACUGAAACUGACUACAGUUCUUUUCAAGCCUUUUUUGAAUGUGUGUGUGAACUUCAAAGUGGAUGGAAGUUCCUCAAUCUUUAUAACUUCCACACAUUCAGAGGAUGUCUGGAAGGGAUCUGGGCUUGUGCUUGCUUGUAUAUGAGCAUUAUUCUCUGUGAUCUGGGGCUCCGAGGAAACAAAGCCUUUUGCUGAAUGCAUGAAAGUCACUGAUGAAAUGGCUAAAUGUUCACUCCUCAUCUUUUAUGUACUUUCAAGUUCUCACAAGUUCAGGUGAAUAUCUGAAGGUUUAUGAAACUUUACUUAAAUGUCCUGCAAAAGUGAUCUUUGCCUCCUGCUAUGAGGUGUGGUUGAAUGGCCAGUACCUGCCCGUCCAUCUGGAUCUAGAAGUCCCACAGGACCUUUGCCCUGCUCUUCUCCAAGACUUACUAUGGAAUUUCCCAUUUGGACUUGAGAGGGCCCACACACUGUUCAGAUACUUCUGCACACAAUGCCAGCUACGUGGUUGCAUCACUCAGUAUACAUUGCCUGCAUCUUACAUCCUGUGUUGAACUGUCUUUGAGGCCCCUCUACAUAGUCUGCACUUCAGCUCCUGUCUAGUGAGGUAGACUUUUGUUUCUAUGGAUCUGGUGCUUAGUGCCUCUUCUUCUGCUGCUAUGAUCGGUGUCUCAGGACUGUUUUUAGUCCAGCUCUUUCAAGUCACUGGUAGGAUUUCCCAAUGUUUUAAAGGAUAAGUUUAGAAACUAAUGGUUAUACACAAUGAAGACAUUUUCAAAUUUAGUAGAUGGAUGCAAAGUUCUCCAUACACAGGGAUGUGUCAUCUACCCUCAGUAUUAAUUGAAGAACACUCAUAGUGAAUGUAAAUAGACCCAUUACAUAUAUAGCUAAUAAAUGCAAAAUAUAUGAGAAUAAACCAAAUGCAAACACAAGUUAUAUUAACUUCUAAAAUGCCUGUAUUUUUUAUAUAAAAACUAGGGUCAUUUUCCCCAAUGUUUCAUACAUUAUUUGUUGUAUAGUACUUUGAUUUGCAUUUUUAUAUGACCUAUGAUCUAUGACCUAUUACCUGCUGUUUAUAUGUAUACUGAGAGCUUAUGUUCUAGAGAUAAAUUCCUUUUGUGUCUGAUCACACUCGGCCAAUAAAGUAUUCUGUUCUGUUCUGUUCUGUUCUGCAUAUGAUUUCUAUUCUUACAUUCCUUGAGUUGCUAUCUAUUUCUAUCUCCAAUGGAUAUAGCAGUUUCUUACACCUAGAUAAUUAUUUUCAGUUAAUCUUUUAAAAUCCUAGUUCCAAUUCUUCAGCCACCCUAUGACCGCUAAGGAUUAGGACACAGAUUACUUUCUCUCACCAUUAUCUUGGCUCAGCUGACCCUUGACAGUUUAGAUUAGCAACUGCAAUGUUAUAUACAACACAAAAGAACUUAUUUCUAAAUACACAUAUACGGUGAUAUCACUGUUUUCUUCUUUAAUUAAUAUUACCCCGAUAAUAUACAAUGGCUUAGUUCUAACAAGUUUUAUUUGACUUUAUUUGACUAACAGCUUUAUGUUUAGAGAUGUCUGAUGUACAGAUAGUCCUCAACCUAUGAUCACAAUUGAGCCCAAAAUUCAUGCUGCUAAGUGAGACAUUUGUUAAGUGAGUUUUGCCCGUUUUAUGACCUUUCUUGCCACAGUUGUUAAGUGAAUCACUGCAGUUGUUAAAUUAGUAACACUGUUGUUAAGUGAAUCUAAUUUUCCCAUUGACUUUGCUUGACAGAUGGCCACAAAAGCUGAUCGCAGAACUCUAGGAACUGCAGCUAUCAUAAAUAUGAACCUGUUGCCAAGCUUCUGAAUUUGAUCCUUGGGGAUGCUGCAACGGUCAUAAGUGUGAAAAUUGGUCAUCAGUCAUUUUUUCAGCACCUUUGUAACU